CUACUCAGUCGGCUUUUAUCAGUGCCUAGUUCUUUGGCGUCGGUUUGGUGUGUUCCUAUCUUAAUUUGUUUUCGUGUGAAAUUUCGUACAUUCGUGUCGUCAUAUCCGUAAAUAGAGAAAAGUUUCUCCUGCUGCUUUGACUCGUGUAUGUCACAUAUUAAAACAGUGAAGGAUGACAGAGGCGAAAUUUCGAACAUCUGGGGAAUCAAUCAACCGUUUAAAAAAAGGCUUAACAGAAGAGAGUCUGCUGGCAGCUCUGCAGAAAGAGAACGCGACAGUCACAGAGCUCUAAAUAAAACGAGAAUCAACAUUGGAUCGGCUUUUCGGAUAUGACGAGAACUGAGGGAUUUGAAAUGUUGUAAAGGCGACGCGGAGAUGGCGUUUUUUACUCAACAAAUUAAAGCCUUAACCAGAAUAUGGACCUUAUUUGGAAAAUAUGCAUGUAAGCAUGGCUGGUCACGUUAUAAGGUCAUGUGCGUGUAGAGCAGGAUCUGCAGUGCUGUCCCAGCCAGCGAGGAGGUUAACUGAUCCACUGAGGAGAGGAGAGCCGCCCUGCCACAUCGCACGAUAUUGACAGUGUGGCGUUUGACUUGUGAACCGUGGCCCAGGCGGGCAGGAAACGCGUCAUGGUGCUAACUGGAACCAGAUGUCAGAGGCUGCUGGGGAUUCUCACAAUGGAACAUGCUCGUCAAAAGGAAACUUUUCUCUCCUCCUCUCUCUCGCUCUCUAUUUCUUUUCAUUUGUUCUCUCUGCAAGCAUCAAAGACCCUGCUUGUUUGGGUGCUGAUUGAUCACUAGAAGAUGACAGACACCACCACAUCUAGAUUCAGCAAGAAGGAGAGAGAUGAAGCAAGAUGGGGUAAGGGAGAACCAAACCAGGAACAGACUGUUGAAGUACCUUAACUUUGUUGCCUAGGAAACUAGGGAACUUGGGAGGGAAAAAUGUGCCUGGCUCCUCAUGGACCAUGGGCAUCAAGCACCUGACACUUGAUUUUAAUUAUUUACUUGUAUAAUUUGUAGACACACCAGGCAGGAGAAGGUGAGAGGGGACAUGAUUUAUUAUUUUUUUAACAGGGACAGAGCAAUCAUUAAACUCAUACCUAUAUAAGUUCCUCCCCUCAAAUUUUUAAGCAUUAAUCAUUACAUUUAAAAAGUGUUUUUGUGGGAGAGGGAAAGGUUUGAAGAAACAAUAUAUAUUCGGCUGUGUCAAACAACAUUUUUAGGGCCAAGCAAAAGCUUCUUCCAACCUGUCAAUAGAAUUCUAAACCUUAUCAACUUGGGUUAUGAAUAUUAAUUAGGGGAUGUAGAGUUUGUGUAAUCAGAAAACAGUAAUACACCCACUUACCCAUAAAUGCUUUUGCAUCCUAAUUAAUAUUCAAGCCAUGCGCUGACAAUGUUUAUAGUGUGCCCCUCCCCCAUUUUUGAGAGUGUUUCUGAUUUUUAAUGAUUAUUCAGUUUGCUCAACGCUGCCAUUUCCCUUUCCGUCAUUUUUGGAUGUUUCUAUAUAUUCUUCAAGUUUUAAUUUCUCUAUCGCUUUCUCUCUCUGUGGGCCUUGCUAGUUGAGCAGUGAAUUGGCCUCUUCUCAAUGCCCCAAGGCAUGGCCUGCCUCCACUCCGCCUGACUGCAUACACAGCCGAGCACAGGCAUGCUGCCAACUGUGUCCUUGGUUUCAGCCUCUCCAUGCUGCCAACCUCCCUUAGCUUCUCUAAUGUCCUGCAAUGCAGUUUCUCAGAAUUAAGGCCACCAGGAAGCUUUGCAUUUCAGCACAGCAAUGAUUAAAUGUUGAGGGAAUAUGUGAAAUUCUACCUUGGACAAAAGAGGCAUCUCAGACAAGUUUUGAUACAAUAUUACUAUCAAAUCUUAAAUUAAGCUGCUAUUACAAGAAUUUACCAUAGUGACCAUAGUUAAAAACAAGAUAAUAUAGUUACUACAUUUGUUAAAACACUGAAAAAUGUGAGUCUUUCCCACUAAUACCAUCUUUUUAAAAACUGCAUUUUAAUAAACUUUUUACAGAUUAGCAAGUAGCAAAUCAUGACUGCUUGCCACUAAAAAUACGUUUAUGUUUUGUUCCAGCUUCCUAUUUAGAUAUUGUCAACACAGAAAAUGUGAUUUCAUGGGGGUUUUAAUGGUAAUUUGGUGUUAGCCAUAAAACAAACAAACAAAAAACAAAAAAACUUUUUUUUUUAUUUAAAGAAAUCCAAUAUUACCUUUAACAGAAACUGCAAUUAACUAUUUCAUAUUUUGUUGUGGAAUAUAGCAAUAUGUAUUGUAUUUAUUUUUUUUAAAACUUUCUUUAAAAAUAUAUAUUUUUUCAUGUGUUUUUUUUCCCCCCAAAGUUUUUAUAAGUAAUUAUUUAGU